rnacentral:rRNA from 1 species
AUUGAACGCUGGCGGCAGGCCUAACACAUGCAAGUCGAGCGGGGUUUUCGGACCUAGCGGCGGACGGGUGAGUAAUGCGUAGGAAGCUACCCGAUAGAGGGGGAUACCAGUUGGAAACGACUGUUAAUACCGCAUAAUGUCUACGGACCAAAGUGUGGGACCUUCGGGCCACAUGCUAUCGGAUGCGCCUACGUGGGAUUAGCUAGUUGGUGAGGUAAUGGCUCACCAAGGCGACGAUCCCUAGCUGGUUUGAGAGGAUGAUCAGCCACACUGGAACUGAGACACGGUCCAGACUCCUACGGGAGUCAGCAGUGGGGAAUAUUGGACAAUGGGCGCAAGCCUGAUCCAGCCAUGCCGGGUGUGUGAAGAAGGCCUUCGGGUUGUAAAGCACUUUCAGUAGGGAGGAAGCGUUGUGUGUUAAUAGUACACAGCGUUGACGUUACCUACAGAAGAAGCAUCGGCUAACUCUGUGCCAGCAGCCGCGGUAAGAC